rnacentral:rRNA from 1 species
AGGUGUGAUCAUUUCAGCACUAAUACAUCGGAUUCCAUCGAAACUUCGAAGUUAAGCGUUCUUAGGCAAAAAUAGUUCUAGAUGGGCUUGUCUUAUGACUU